rnacentral:rRNA from 1 species
UACAGAGGGUGCAAGCGUUGUUCGGAAUUAUUGGGCGUAAAGCGCGUGUAGGCGGCUUGGCAAGUCGGGUGUGAAAGCCCUCAGCUCAACUGAGGAAGUGCGCCCGAAACUGCUUUGCUUGAGUGUCGGAGAGGAUGGCGGAAUUCCCCAAGUAGAGGUGAAAUUCGUAGAUAUGGGGAGGAACACCGGUGGCGAAGGCGGCCAUCUGGACGAUAACUGACGCUGAGACGCGAAAGCGUGGGUAGCAAACAGG